CUAGCUAGCCCUUCAUCGAACUGUCCACUCCCCUCACGAUCCAGCUACGCCGCCCCGUCCAUGGCGAACUGCGCCGACGCCGCACCGUCGUCCGCGUAGAAGCUCCCCUGUCCAGCCGCCGGGCCCUCCUCCAGAAAGCCGCAACACCGCGCGAAUUCCUUCCCUCACCAGGCUGGGAGGACGCCACGCCUGACUAAUUUCCAGCGAACCACCUGCUCCCGCAUCCUCUCCGGCUGCCCUCGAUCUGAUCUACAUUGCCCGUCCAGUUCAGCGGCUGACCAAUCGAUCUACUCCGGUCCUCACUGCAAACUACGCGGCCCCCCUUCCCCCUGCUUGCCUGUGCACCACCUCUUCUUUCCUGCUUCAGGCAAGAUCGCUCCAAGUGUGCUGACUUGCCAUGGCUGCUGAUGGUGAAACUUCGGUGAAUCAAUCUUCACCAUCUACAGAAAAUGGCGGCACCCAAGUGAUGGCAUCGUCUCGUGCAGCAGAGCAAAGUGAUACUACCCCAUCAGGCCAGCUUCAUACAACUCAUGCAAGGGAGGAAUCACCUUUCUUGGAUGAAUAAUAAGCAUGAAUAUAGCAGUUACACAUGUAGCUACCAUGUUGGAAUUUGACUUUCUUUUGUGAGUAGUUGUGAACCUGAAUGUUUCUAUAUUUGCUUCUUCUCUAUGUUGCCAAAAACAAGUGGCUGUUAUGGAUAUAGUACGUGUCAUUGUGGAUUAUUACUGUGUGAUAUUUUGUUCAAUGAGAAAAAUGUAUUGAAUGUGA